GACGAACGCUGGCGGCGUGCCUAACACAUGCAAGUCGAGCGGGGAUUUAAGUGGAAGUUCUUCGGCAUGGAGAUUUAAAUUCUAGCGGCGGACGGGUGAGUAACGCGUGAACAAUCUGUCCCGGACAGGGGGAUAACACUUGGAAACAGGUGCUAAUACCGCAUAAGACCACGGCCUCGCAUGGGGCUGAGGUAAAAGGAGCAAUCCGGUUCGGGGUGAGUUCGCGUCCGAUUAGCUAGUUGGUGAGGUAACGGCCCACCAAGGCGACGAUCGGUAGCCGGCCUGAGAGGGUGAGCGGCCACAUGGGAACUGAGAGACGGUCCAAACUCCUGCGGGAGACAGCAGUGGAGAAUAGUGGGCUGUGGGCGAAAGCCUGACCCAGCAGCGCCGCGUGAGGGAAGAAGGUUUUCGGAGUGUAAACCUCUGUCCUAUGGGACGAAGGAAGUGACGGUACCAUAUGAGGAAGCCCCGGCUGACUACGUG
rnacentral:rRNA from 1 species